rnacentral:lncRNA from 1 species
CAUUUGCAGAAUUGAGAAGGACUGAGUAGGCAUUAGCGAGCAGAUAUAAAGAUAUUCUCAUACAUCUUUAUGUCUUAGAGCCUCAGAGAAGAGCAAGGACCUCUGCCCGACUAGGACUUAUCUCUUUGCCAGGGCUGCAAUCAGUUCAGCACAGUCUCUGUGCGUGGAAGGGACUAUGAGGGCCAUUUUGAGAUGUUUGAGAAGAAACUUCUGAGGAUGUCCCUUUACAGAGCAGCAGGAGAUUUGCUCUCUGUGUC